GCAGAUAAGGGGAAAAACAAGAGCGGGGACCAGGGGAAAGCACACUGCACUACCACCAGCGCACACAUUCCACAGUCCAGAGCCUCUGCACUCCAAGUGAUUUAAUCAAGAAAUACAUUUAGCUGCUUGGAGUGUUUGUGCGCGGCAAGAUUUCCUUCUGGGUGGGCCCAGGUGUGCUUACCAUCUUGGCGUCAGGUGACAGCAGGCUGUGGCUGGGGUCCAGGCCUCCCGGAGACACCUGCUGGAGGACCGACUGACUGGUCGCCAUGCCGUUGUUGCUGUGGUGACUAAUGGUGGUGGAGGAAGUGACCUCGCUAGCUCCCGGCUGACUGUAUCGAACUGCAAAGAUAGUGAGAGGAAUGCAUGGACAAUUCUUUAGAUUUAUUUAUUUGUCAGUUUUUUGGUAAGUCUGGAUACUUCCUGCUCCUCCCUCUCCUCACACAAGUACUACAGGUAACAAACCUCCACACAGUUCUCCAACAUGCCAGUUUUGAUUGCAAAAAGUUAGAGAAGGAGCACAACUCGGACAAAGAUAAUCACUAAAAUAGUGCUCUUUGGAAGGAGGGGGAAAUAUCAACGCAUUAAAAAGGGUUUCAUUUGCCAGUAAAAAUUAAGGUUCACCCUGAUGAAGGCCGUGCAAGGCCUAAAUAUGUAGAUCCAGCAUAUAUAAAUUUUUCUUGCCAUGUUGCCAGGCUUUUAACUUUACCAUUAAGAGAGCCUUGGAUUCCUACUUGUUUGCCACUUUGUACUUUCUCAUAAUUUUGACAGGCAAACUAAACCCUUUUUGACAGAAACCUCCUUCAGUAACUUCUCACAGAGAGGGUUUCACCACUGAGAUUACAGCCUGUCAGACACAGACACUGCUCACGGGCUCAGAAUAGAGAGACAAAGCAACACCAACGCAGUACCAGAGCAGACAAGGCCAACACCUUUCCCUCCUAAAACCCUGUGCCUCACCUACAGGACCAUGUCAAUCACAACAGCUCUCACACACGGCUACAGCAGAAAGGGACAUUAGGUCUGCUGAGACAACAUAUACCUCGCUAACUGAUAGGGCGCAACUGUCAUUCCAGCCUCCGCAUAUGGAAACAGAUGGUUGAUACGAAAGGCAAGGACAAUAGUCGCCACACAUAGAUUCAGCUUGUUUGCCUUGUUUGCAACAGAGUAAUCAUCGCUGAAAAACACUCUUCAGGGAAUAACAACCAAACCGUAUACACACAGCACUGUAUACACACAGGUAAAACAAAGUCAUGUAAGAAAUAUUCAAAAUAUUUGUUUGUCAUGCACACACAACACUGACAAGAAAGCCAAAUAUAAAAUGAUAAAAAUUCAAUUAAUGAAAUUUUUUGAUGAAUAGUUUUAUAUUAUAUAUUAUUCAACAUGCGGUAUUAGUUGUUUAUUAAAGGCUGCAUGUUGUUUAUGACUGUUUUCUAAUAAUAGUACAUCCAGUACAGUUACCAUUUAGAUACCUAAAUAUAGAAAUGUGCUUUUAUUAAACAGCUAGAUUUGUUAUACAUAAUUUAAUAAAUAGUUGUGUGUGUGCGUGUUUGUGUGUGUGAGUGUGUGUGUGUGUGUGUGCAUGUGAGUACGCAUUUGUGUGUGUGGGUGAAUAAGUUUGUAUAUCCUCCCUCCAACAUAUGUCACAGUGUCCCGAAAUGGCUCAAUCACCCAGACUGCGCAACCCAGUGCCUUGUAAACAGCAGUCUAGUGCUGUACAAGCCUCCGGCUAUGACCCAGGCCCAAUUAACGGACUUUCCAUUUUACAGCCGUCUCCCUCUGAAAGAGUGACCCGGGCAAAUGGAGGUUCUGUCCCGCUGUGACUCAACCCUUCAGACCCCAUUUUGGGCCGGGUUGCCCACUAUUGUGGGAAUACAGAGAGCGAGGUAAGGACAAAGUCCCACCCCCCACCCACCCCGCUCCUGGAGGACCUUUUGGAUGACGCUUGGGAACGUCAGGCCAAAGGAGGACCCUUUGGGCGGCAUUUCGGAACGUCAGGCCAAAAGAGACAUCAGGCCAAAACACACUCCAACCCAGGAUACUUAAAACAACGCAAAGCAUUUCAGAUGACCCUGCGAUCGACCCUUGGCUGACCCGGGCAUGCUGCAGGACUGCCCCCCUCUUUGAAGCGUUCCUGUUGGCUGACUUUGGACUGUAGGUUGCAGGU